rnacentral:rRNA from 1 species
CGUAGGGUGCGAGCGUUAAUCGGAAUUACUGGGCGUAAAGCGUGCGCAGGCGGUUUUGUAAGACAGAUGUGAAAUCCCCGGGCUCAACCUGGGACCUGCAUUUGUGACUGCAAGGCUAGAGUACGGUAGAGGGGGAUGGAAUUCCGCGUGUAGCAGUGAAAUGCGUAGAUAUGCGGAGGAACACCGAUGGCGAAGGCAAUCCCCUGGACCUGUACUGACGCUCAUGCACGUAAGCGUGGGGAGCAAACAGGAUUAGAUACCCUGGUAGUCCACGCCCUAAACGAUGUCAACUGGUUGUUGGGUCUUCACUGACUCAGUAACGAAGCUAACGCGUGAAGUUGACCGCCUGGGGAGUACGGCCGCAAGGUUAG